rnacentral:rRNA from 1 species
CUUGCUUUCUUUGCCGGCGACCGGCGCACGGGUGAGUAACACGUAUCCAACCUGCCCUUUACUCGGGGAUAGCCUUUCGAAAGAAAGAUUAAUACCCGAUAGCAUAAUGAUUCCGCAUGGUUUCAUUAUUAAAGGAUUCCGGUAAAGGAUGGGGAUGCGUUCCAUUAGGUUGUUGGUGAGGUAACGGCUCACCAAGCCUUCGAUGGAUAGGGGUUCUGAGAGGAAGGUCCCCCACAUUGGAACUGAGACACGGUCCAAACUCCUACGGGAGGCAGCAUG